GGGUGUUGCAGGAGGCAACUUGGAAGUAACCUAUACACAACUAAAAACAUGGUGUGCCUGCGCUUUGUGGGUUGAAUGAUUCUGGACAACCAGUAUUGUUAUGCGCUUGUAACGAUAAUUCUGUUCACCUAUAUGAUUUACCAUCUUCACUGAGAGGGCGAGGAUAUUGUCAAAACAUGAAGUCAGAGACAUUCAGAUUAGUCCUGAUGGCCUCAUUUUCAC